AGCGAACGCUGGCGGCAGGCUUAACACAUGCAAGUCGAGCGGCCAUCCUUGUGGUGUUAGCGGCAGACGGGUGCGUAACGCGUGGGAAUGUGCCCUUCGUCUCGAACUACUUCAGGGAAACUGGAGCCAAAACCGGAUACGUGCUAAUGCAGCAUGGUUUAUCUGACGAAGGACAGGCCCGCGUCGGAUUAUCUAGUUGGUGAGGUUAGGGCUCCCCAAGGCGUCGUUCAGUAGCUGGGCUGCGAGAAUGACCAGCCACCCUGGCGCGAGGACACGGCCCGGACUCCUACGGGAGGCAGGAGUGGGGGAUAUUGGACAAUGGGGGCAACCAUGAACCAGCCAGGCCGCGUGAGUGAUGUCGGCCUUAAGGUUGUAAAGCUCUUUUCUCCGGGACGAUAAUGACGGUACCGGAGGAAUAAGCCCCGGCUAACUUCGUG
rnacentral:rRNA from 1 species